CAGUCAUUGGCCGGUCGCAAGCCGCCUCCCAGCCGCCAGGUCCGCUUGCUGGACGCCGGCCAAGGGAGGCGGCGCGCCACGAGGGCUCGGGACUGAGCUGGCGAUGUUGUUUCCACUUUUGCUGCACAGCCGUUGACUUGAGUAGAUUACAGCUCCGGUGGGCAAAGAAGGGACCCUCGCCUAUGUCCGGAACCCAAUGGAAGGUGAUGAGGGAUCCAAAGAUUGAGCUGAAAGAUGGGAAGACUGAGACUCCCCGCCUCUCCAGCUGGAAGGUCUGGGCAGAGACCGAAGUUCCCCUGGAGGCCUCCGGAUCCAGCUAGUCUCCCGGCGCUGAGUUUCGUCUCUACUAAUUUUGACAAGCAUUCGUAUUGCAACUACGACAGCCCUGUUUGUCUUUUAGGGAAAAUAAGAUAAAGAAACUGAGGAAGAGAGCACUAAGUAACUUGAUCAAGGCCACAGCUGUUUUCAGCGGACUUUGUUUGUAUGUGGUGCUGAGGAUCGAACCCGGACUGCACGCAUGCCAGGCGAGUGCGCUACUGCUUGAGCCACAUCCCCAGCCCCAGGGUCCGUCCUAUUACCAGGCAAUUUCCUUUCUCAUUUCUGGUCAUAGGUAAGGACAGAAACACAACCAACAGAUCACAUUUAGUAUCAACUCUGUUUCUGCCACCUCUCUGAAUCUGAAAAUCUAUCAGUUCCGAGUCAGUAAACUCAGAACUGAUAGAUUACCCUCCACACCAAAGGGGACUAACAGUUGUAGCUCUCCAAACUAGAAGCAAAGUAUACCUUUUAAACAUAUGUAGGAGUCUCUAGGGGAUGAUACAGACAGAGGAUGUCUUUAAGUAAUCAAUGUUUAAAGAAAGAGUACUCUUGAAUCAACUUGUCUACCUUUCAAGGGGGCUAAGAAAGUUGGUGUUGGCAGGGGGGAGGUAGAGAGAAAAGUUGGGGCUUUUAAAUUCUAAUCAACCAUUCCAAUUCAUCAUAGGGGGCUGGGGCUCUAGCUCAGUGGCAGAGCGCUUGCCUUGCAUUUGAGAGGUGCUGAGAAUCAAACCCAGCCGGAUUCCAUCCUCAGCACCACAUAAAAAUAAACAAAAUAAAGGCAUGCUGUCCAUCUACAUCUACAAAAAACAAACAAACAAACAAAAAAACUCAUCAUACUGACUCUGAGGGGAAUGUAAGGGAGCUAUGAAAUUCAAAGAGGAGUUAGCAUGGGCAGAACACACAAAAACCUCUUUCCAAAACACAAGUAUUACCUGAGUUAUACUUUGCUUGUUCAAAUUAAUCUUUCUCUUUUCCAAGUUUGAUCCUAGUGACUUCAUAGACAUCAUACUCUUAUGUGUGGGAAAACACUACAGUGAGCAGCUUUCGUGUCAAAUUAGUGUUAAAAAAUCUCAGCAAUUCUAUUUAUUAAAGACACCAAGAUAGAAAAUCAUACAGGAGACAACGCAGAGGAAUAAAAGCUCUUAAGUCCAGUUUUCUGGGUUUGUUUUCCGAUUCUACUUAAUGGCUAUGAAACUUUGAGCAAAUUGCUAAAUAUAUGUGUACAUUUGUUUCCUCAUCUGUAUAAUGGGAUAACAGCUUUAUAAGCAACUACUGCAUAAGGUUGUAAAGAUUAAAUGAGAUAAUAUUUGUAUCAUUAUUAAAUUUCUUUGGAACUCAUUUAAAUAAGUAUUUGAUAUAGACUACAUGCUCAAUAAAUAUUGAGCUACUAAUCAGUAUCAAUAAGACAUGAAGAAUUUCUUUACAUCUCUGAGCCUUACUUUCCUCCACUAGAAAAAUGAAAGAAAAAAAAUACUAUCCUCAUAGAAUAGGCUAUGGGGAUUAAAUGAAAGAUGUAUUUAGCAUAAAGAUGUAGUAGCUAGUUGUUAUUAAAUAAUGGCCCUGCUUUUUUUGCGUCCAGAAAAGAUUUAAGUUAAUAUAUUAAAGAAUAGCUCAAUGUUAGUUAUCAAUAAUAUUCUACACACAACACACACAAAUUUUUUUUAAAAAAAUUUUGUACUAGGGAUUGAACCCAGUACAAAAUUAACCACUUAACCACUGAGUCAUACCCCUAGCCCUUUUUUAUGUUUUAUUUAGAGAUAGGGUCUUGCUGAAUUGCUUAGGGCCUCGCUAAAUAGCUGAGGUUGGCUCUGAAAAAGGUAUAAAGAAAAAGAAAAAAACAAAAAGGUUAAAGAAGAUUAUGACAGAGGUAAGAAUUCAAAGUCCCAAAGUAGACUAAUUUAGAGGAAUAUCAGAAAUUACUAUGAUCCUAUUGAAUAUUCUGUAGUGUCCUAGGUCAAGGAGUUCUGAGAAUCCAGAUAUACAUGUACAUUUUGUCAUUAAGUUUUCAUUGGUUUAUGAUGAAAUGAUCAAAAUAAAGAGGAUACAGCAAAAUUUUCAUUAAGCUAAAUUUAUUAAGUUUGUAUAUUCUUAUGAGAAACCAAGAAUCUCAUAACAGUUUUCUCUGGAAAAAAUAAAACAAAACACAGAUUA